UCGAGAAAACGAACCCGGCGUGUGAAAACUUUUCCACGUCCUAGAAUCAAGAACUACUUCGGUGCCGGAGAUAUCUAUUACGUUGACUACGGCAGGAAGUCUUUUGCUAGGUCAGUCUUAAGUUUGUAACGUGGCAAUAAUGCCAGCGUGUGGCAUAUGGUUGUCAAUACCCGACACUGUACCAUGAACGUUAUUCACUACCCUUUCAUCACCUCAUACUGUUCGGGUACUUCGAGUACCUUUGACUCCCUAGAGAGAAGGCACUCGACCAGUUGCUCAUGACCAGUAUGCGUAGUUUGCCUUUGCAAAUCUUCUCUAAAGAAUGUCACACACAAGUGACGACGUCAAAGGGUCCUCUAUACGAUCUUAAUCAAAGUCUUUUUCCUAUACGACCGGAGCUGUUCUCUUGUUUUCUCUACGUCAUUAGAGAGCUGUAUGGAGAUAAACCCUAGUCUUCUUUUAUGUCACGUUAGAGUCAAUAACGGACCUUUUAAGAAAACGAUAGUUGAUGAUGGACUUCAAUACUCGAUGUAUAUCAAAUCGAAUACGAGCAACCACAACGG
rnacentral:rRNA from 1 species